CCUACGGGUGGCAGCAGUCGAGAAUCAUUCACAAUGGAGGAAACCCUGAUGGUGCGACGCCGCGUGGGGGAAUGAAGGUCUUCGGAUUGUAAACCCCUGUCAUGUGGGAGCAAAUUAAAAAGAUAGUACCACAAGAGGAAUAGACGGCUAACUAUGUGCCAGCAGCUGCGGUAAUACAGAGGUCCCAAGCGGUGUUCGGAAUUAUUGGGCGUAAAGCGUGCGGAGGCUGUUUCGUAGGUCGUGUGUGAAAGGUGCGGGCUCAACCCGAGGAAGGCACAUGAUACUGGGAGACUAGAGUAAUGGAGGGGUGAGCGGAAUUCGUGGUGUAGCAGUGAAAUGCGUAGAUAUCGAGAGGAACACUCGUGGCGAAGGCGGGUCCCUGGACAUUAACUGACGCUGAGGCACGAAGGCGAGGGGAGCGAAAGGGAUUAGAUACCCGUGUAGUC
rnacentral:rRNA from 1 species